rnacentral:rRNA from 1 species
GAGAGGUCCUGCGCCGAAAAUGUCCGGGGCUGAAACACGACACCGAAGCUUAGGAAUCACAUAGUGAGUGGUAGAGGAGCAUUCUUAAAACCGACGAAGCUGUACCGGAAGGAGCAGUGGAGGGAUAAGAAGAGAGAAUGCCGGAAUGAGUAGCGAGAGAAAGGUGGGAAUCCUUUCGGCCGAAUAUCUAAGGUUUCCAGAGUAAAGCUGAUCUGCUCUGGGUAAGUCGGGGCCUAAGCACAGGUCGCAAGACGUAAGCGAUGGAUAACAGGUUUAGAUUCCUGUACCACGCAUUAUCAGAACUGUAGGGACGCAUGUGGAAAGCACGGGCCGGGAAUGGAAAGACCGGUACAAGCGGGGUAGGAGUACAAUAGGCAAAUCCGUUGUAUGAUCCGAAGACGUGAUGUGGAGCGAAAUAAAGUAGUGAAGCGUGUGAGCCAUGUGCCGAGAAAAGCUGCUAUUGUGUAAUGCGUGCCCGUACCGUAAACCGACACAGGUGGAUGAGGAGAGAAUCCUAAGGCCGACGGAAGAAGCAUUGUUAAGGAAUUCGGCAAAAUGACCCCGUAACUUCGGGAGAAGGGGUGCCUGCGAGAGCAGGCCGCAGAGAAUAGGCUCAAGCAACUGUUUAGCAAAAACACAGGUCUAUGCGAAACCGAAAGGUGAAGUAUAUGGGCUGACGCCUGCCCGGUGCUGGAAGGUUAAGAGGAGAGGUUAGCGCAAGCGAAGCUUUGAAUUUAAGCCCCAGUAAACGGCGGCCGUAACUAUAACGGUCCUAAGGUAGCGAAAUUCCUUGUCGGGUAAGUUCCGACCCGCACGAAAGGCGUAAUGAUUUGAGCACUGUCUCGACAAUGCAUCCGGUGAAAUUGAAGUACCAGUGAAGAUGCUGGUUACCCGCGCCAGGACGGAAAGACCCCAUGGAGCUUUACUCCAGUUUGAUACUGGGAUUCGGUACUGCAUGUACAGGAUAGGUGGGAGACGAAGAAGGAUGGACGCCAGUCUGUCCGGAGUCGCUGUUGGGAUACCACCCCUGUAGUACUGGGUUUCUAACCAGUUACCAUGAUCUGGUAAUGGGACAAUGUCAGGCGGGGAGUUUGACUGGGGCGGUCGCCUCCGAAAGGGUAUCGGAGGCGCUCAAAGGUUCCCUCAGAAUGGUUGGAAACCAUUUGAAGAGUGCAAAGGCAGAAGGGAGCUUGACUGCGACACCGACGGGUGGAGCAGGU